UAAAGAAGAAAAUUAUUCUGAAAUCCUCUGGUCUGGAACAAGUUUUUGGUGACCCUGCAUGCAUGCAUUAAUUCUAGAGUCAUUUUUUCUUUUCUUCAGGUUCAGUUACUUGACUAUCAAGUGAUAAUUGGGGCAUAUCUCCAACAAAUGGGACACUGGGACCUUGUGGUAAUAGAACCAUCAACAAGAACUAUAUUCUUCUAUAAUCCUCUUGGUGAGACUCUUCUGCAGAAGAGGCGCAUUCAAGAAAAUUUGAGUCAUUUCUUCAACAGAAGAAUAAGCCUUGGACUAGAGGCAGGCAAGUCUGAGGAGAAAUGGACUCUUAAAACUGUUCCUCAUACAAAACAGCAAGAUGGGCAAAAUU